rnacentral:rRNA from 1 species
UACGUAGGGGGCUAGCGUUGUCCGGAAUCAUUGGGCGUAAAGCGCGUGUAGGCGGUCCGGUAAGUCCGCUGUGAAAGUCGGGGGCUCAACCCUCGGAUGCCGGUGGAUACUGUCGGGCUUGAGUACGGAAGAGGCGAGUGGAAUUCCUGGUGUAGCGGUGAAAUGCGCAGAUAUCAGGAGGAACACCAAUUGCGAAGGCAGCCCGCUGGGACGUUACUGGCGCUGAGACGCGAAAGCGUGGGGAGCAAACAGG